UACGAAGGGGGCUAGCGUUGCUCGGAAUCACUGGGCGUAAAGCGCACGUAGGCGGAUUGUUAAGUCAGGGGUGAAAUCCUGGAGCUCAACUCCAGAACUGCCUUUGAUACUGGCGAUCUUGAGUUCGGGAGAGGUGAGUGGAACUGCGAGUGUAGAGGUGAAAUUCGUAGAUAUUCGCAAGAACACCAGUGGCGAAGGCGGCUCACUGGCCCGAUACUGACGCUGAGGCACGAAAGCGUGGGGAGCAAACAGGGAAUUAGAUGACCCUAG
rnacentral:rRNA from 1 species